GGGGCUGGGGCUCAGGGGUAGAGUGCUUGCCUAGCAUGCAUGAGGCACUGGGUUCGAUCCUCAGCACCA
rnacentral:tRNA from 1 species